rnacentral:lncRNA from 1 species
AUGACUAGAGAAGGAGGAAAUGUACAGUUUGCCUUAUUUUUAUUUUUUAAAGCAACCUGUUCACUAACCUUUUUGCACCUUUUAAAAGGCCAGCCAGGAAGUCUCAGGUCAGUGAAGAAAAAUUCAUUAUAUAAAAACUUGACUGCACGACUAAUAGGAGAUGGAAGAAUGGUUUUGCUCUAUCAAAAUGACCCGUCAAAACGACUUUGUUUCAUAUUUGAUUUAAUUGUCUCUCUCCUGACAGGCACAUUCAUCAAUAGCUUAAUGGUCAAUCAGAAGUUGGCAGCGAGGAGAAGGAUCACCUUGAGGACCAAGUGCCUGGAUCUACUCCUUCCCACGUGUCCCAGACAGGAAGCGGAAGGGAGAGGAGCUGGGAAGUCUCUGAUCCUCCUGUGCUGUGGCUACGUUUAAUCCAGUAACGCCAGCACUCACUCCAAGUGCAGAUUGUGAGAGUUUCCUUCUGGCCCAGUUUUAUUCCUGCCUGUGAGUGGACAAACUAGAAAUAGCUCUGGUCUUAUAGUAAAAGAUAAAUAAAAAUAAAGCAGAGUGUGUGUCUGCCCCUCAGUGUCAGCAUCUCCUGCCUGCUUACAUAGAUGAAUCUUCCAAAGAAGCUGUUGUGCUACACUCCUGUGGUAUCACUCCCGGCCCACGGGGAAACAGAACAGGUCAGAAUGGUGGUUUCAUUUACCCAGAACCCUCGCAGUUGCUUUGUGUGUGUGUGUGUGUUAUACUCCAAAUUGUGGUUUCUCUGUCUGAAGUUAAAAAUGAAAGGUGAAUACAAUAUAUUGUAUUUGGUAACAAUGAUAUGGACUAGUACAUCCCGACAGAUAAUGUGCAGUUGUAAUUAGACUCAAUAGACAGGCAGUCAUUUUUAAAUUCUUUGACACAUGCAUAAAAUAGUCAUAUAAUAAGAUAAGAUGACAAUUUUAUGUUAGGUUGAUAAAGUGUCCUGAUACAUGCAUUUAAAUGUCUGUAAGCUUUUUUUUUUUUUAAAUCCAGACAGAUUAAUUCUAGUUUCCAGU